rfam:Danio rerio chromosome 14, GRCz11 reference primary assembly.
UGUUCCUCAUUUUGUAAGUCACUUUGGAUAAAAGCAUCUGCUAAAUGAUUAAAU